rnacentral:misc_RNA from 1 species
AAAAAAUUUAACAAUCGAUUCAAGAAUUAGUUGCUAAAUCAGUUAUUAUUAGCAAUCGAUUUAUAAUUUGUUACUAAAAUAAGUUGCUAAUAGCGAUUGAUUUAUAAUUUGUUGCUGAAUCGGUUGUUAAUCGAUGUUAGAAAAACCUUAAAUAUGUGAUUAGCAACCAAUUUUAAAAUUGAUUACUAACAGCAACCGAUUUAGAGAAUCGAUUGCUAAAUUAAAUAAUUAUUU